rnacentral:rRNA from 1 species
GUAAUGGCGAACGAACAGGGAUGAGCUCGGCUUGGAAACUGGGGCCUUGGCCUUGGAUUGUAGCCUCUAGACAUAGUGCCAACGGAGGCGCAGGUGCAAGCCUCUUGGAAAAGAGCAUCAAUGUGGGUGAGAAUCCUGUGUUUCACUUGCAGUCCACCGUGCACGGCACAUGUUCUCAGAGUCGCGUUCCUCGGAAUUGGAGCGUAAAGUGGGUGGUAAAUUUCAUCUAAAGCUAAAUAUAGGCUUGAGACCGAUAGCAAACAAGUACCAUGAGGGAAAGAUGAAAAGGACUUUGAAAAGAGAGUUAAAAGUGCUUGAAAUCGCUGAAAGGGAAGCGAAUGGAACCAGUCUUCUGGCUGAGAUUGCUGCAUGCUACUGUGAUGCCUGGCUGCUUCAACGCAAGUGUUGUAGUUAGAGUUGAUCAGCUGCGUGUGGUGUUUCUCAGCUUGUUAGUCAACCUCUGUYUGCGCUUGGGGAUAGCCUCAGGUACACGUCGCUUCUCUGCGGAGUUGCUCCUGUGCUUGUAGGGACUCAGGUGCAUACUUUUGGUGACAAAAUGGUUCUCUUCGACCCGUCUUGAAACACGGACCAAGGAGUCUAGCACAUGUGCAAGUUCACAGGUGGCAAGCCUGCUUGCGCAAUGAAGGUGACUGCUGGGAUCAUUUGCACCAGCAACCGACCAAUCAAUUGAGAGAAGUUUGAGUAUGAGCAUAUGUGUUAGGACCCGAAA